rnacentral:rRNA from 1 species
AUUGAACGCUGGCGGCAUGCCUUACACAUGCAAGUCGAACGGUAACGCGGGGCAACCUGGCGACGAGUGGCGAACGGGUGAGUAAUGCAUCGGAACGUGCCCAUUAGUGGGGGAUAGCCCGGCGAAAGCCGGAUUAAUACCGCAUACGACCUACGGGUGAAAGCAGGGGAUCGCAAGACCUUGCGCUAUUGGAGCGGCCGAUGUCAGAUUAGGUUGUUGGUGGGGUAAAAGCCACCAAGCCGACGAUCUGUAGCUGGUCUGAGAGGACGACCAGCCACACUGGGACUGAGACACGGCCCAGACUCCUACGGGAGGCAGCAGUGGGGAAUUUUGGACAA